GACGAACGCUGGCGGCGUGCCUAAUACAUGCAAGUCGAACGCAUUUUCUUUCACCGUAGCUUGCUACACCGACAGAAACUGAGUGGCGAACGGGUGAGUAACACGUGGGUAACCUGCCCAUCAUCGGGGGAUAACACUUGGAAACAUGUGCUAAUACCGCAUAAUUCCAUUUACUGCAUGGUAGAUGGAUGAAAGGCGCUUUUGCGUCACUGAUGGAUGGACCCGCGGUGCAUUAGCUAGUUGGUGGGGUAACGGCCUACCAAGGCUGCGAUGCAUAGCCGACCUGAGAGGGUGAUCGGCCACACUGGGACUGAGACACGGCCCAGACUCCUACGGGAGGCAGCAGUAGGGAAUCUUCGGCAAUGGACGCAAGUCUGACCGAGAAACGCCGCGUGAGUGAAGAAGGUUUUCGGAUCGUAAAACUCGGUUGUUAGAAAAGAACAAGGAUGAGAGUGGAAAGUUCAUCCCUUGACGGUAUCUAACCAGAAAGCCACGGCUAACUACGUG
rnacentral:rRNA from 1 species